CUAAUGGCGGCGAACAGGGACCCGGAGCCAAAUAAACCCAGCUGCGGGAAGCACUACGUCAGGGUCAGACCCUGACGCUCGUCGCCCCAUCAUUGGCCCCGAGGCCGCCGGUGGCGCAGCCAAUGGGCGGCCGCCUCUUUCCAGAUGCAAGGGGAGGGCCGCGGCAGCGUGACGUCACCGGAGAGCUUGCGGAUUGUGAGGCCGCGGCCCAACCGCCCUCACCUGCGGAGGACUCUCCCCUGCCGAGAUAAAGUGGAAGAUACCUUAGGGCCAACACCUUAGGGCUGUGGGCUUCCCGGCUUCUGCUCAGUUUUGGUUUCACCGAUUUUUUUUUCCGUAAACAUACACGUUCAUGAUGAGAAGCAAUGAAGACCUCACUUCUCUCUGCCCACUACUUCCAGGCGCUCAUCUUGGGUGAACACAAAUUUCUUAUGGUUACAAUUUCUGUAACUUUGAGGUACAAUUUUGCAACUGUACAAAGGAUUUCCAUAACUGAAAUCAGGAUGAGAAACAAGGACUCUUUCUUGUAUUACCAAGCAAGAAAGUACUGCUUUAGGAAGCCAACCCUAACUCAGAAUAAACAAAUUUUUAUAAAGC
rnacentral:lncRNA from 1 species